rnacentral:lncRNA from 1 species
GAAAGUCCUGUCCCUGGAGACAUUCAAGACCAGGCUGGACAGGGCACUGAGCAACCUGAUCUAGCUGUGGGUGUCCCUGUUCAUUGCGGAUGAGGCUGAAGAUAAGGACACAACAUUGAAAAACUGAGAAACAGCUCGUUAGGAUCUUCAUGAAAACAGAUGAGAAAAAAUGAGCUACUGGAUGAAAUGCUCCCUCUGCUGUCC